rnacentral:rRNA from 1 species
AGGACUUCAAUAUGGUAGUCUGUUAGUAUAGUUGAAGGAUUUGGAAAAUUCCGCUAAAGAGGGUGAAAGCCCCGUAGACGAAAUGCUGACAACACCUAGGAGGAUCCUGAGUACGGCGGAACACGAGAAAUUCCGUCGGAAUCCGCGGGGACCAUCCCGCAAGGCUAAAUACUCCCUAGUGACCGAUAGUGAACCAGUACCGUGAGGGAAAGGUG